UACGUAGGCAGCGAGCGUUGUUCGGAGUUACUGGGCGUAAAGAGUGCGUAGGCGGUUUUCUAAGUUUGGUGUGAAAUCUCCCGGCUCAACUGGGAGGGUGCGCCGAAGACUGGAAGACUAGAGUGUGGGAGAGGUAAGCGGAAUUCCUGGUGUAGCGGUGAAAUGCGUAGAUAUCAGGAGGAACACCUGCGGUGUAGACGGCUUACUGGACCACCACUGACGCUGAGGCACGAAAGCGUGGGGAGCGAACAGG
rnacentral:rRNA from 1 species